rnacentral:rRNA from 1 species
UACGUAGGGGGCAAGCGUUAUCCGGAAUUAUUGGGCGUAAAGGGUGCGUAGGUGGUUUUGUAAGCGCGGGGUGAAAGGCUAUGGCUCAACCAUAGUGAGCCUCGCGAACUGUAGAACUUGAGUGCAGGAGAGGAAAGUGGAAUUCCUAGUGUAGCGGUGAAAUGCGUAGAUAUUAGGAGGAACACCAGUGGCGAAGGCGACUUUCUGGACUGUAACUGACACUGAGGCACGAAAGCGUGGGGAGCAAACAGGAUUAGAUACCCUGGUAGUCCACGCCGUAAACGAUGAGCACUAGGUGUCGGGGUCGCAAGGCUUCGGUGCCGCAGUUAACGCAUUAAGUGCUCCGCCUGGGGAGUACGCACGCAAGUGUAAA